rnacentral:rRNA from 1 species
GACGAACGCUGGCGGCGUGCCUAAUACAUGCAAGUAGAACGCUGAAGAGAGGAGCUUGCUCUUCUUGGAUGAGUUGCGAACGGGUGAGUAACGCGUAGGUAACCUGCCUUGUAGCGGGGGAUAACUAUUGGAAACGAUAGCUAAUACCGCAUAACAAUGGAUGACACAUGUCAUUUAUUUGAAAGGGGCAAUUGCUCCACUACAAGAUGGACCCGCGUUGUAUUAGCUAGUAGGUGAGGUAAUGGCUCACCUAGGCGACGAUACAUAGCCGACCUGAGAGGGUGAUCGGCCACACUGGGACUGAGACACGGCCCAGACUCCUACGGGAGGCAGCAGUAGGGAAUCUUCGGCAAUGGGGGCAACCCUGACCGAGCAACGCCGCGUGAGUGAAGAAGGUUUUCGGAUCGUAAAGCUCUGUUGUAAGUCAAGAACGGGUGUGAGAGUGGAAAGUUCACACUGUGACGGUAGCUUACCAGAAAGGGACGGCUAACUACGUG